GAGACCACACUCCUCCUGUCGGACAGCUCCAGCCAGCACAGGGUGACUGGGUCUACAUAAAGGUCCAUCAACGAAAGACUACUCUAGCCCCAUGCUGGAAAGGCCCUUAUUAAGUCCUGCUAACUACCAACACUGCUGUGAAGUGCCAAGGACUGACUGCCUGGACCCAGGCUUCUUCCUGCAAAAAAACCCCUCCAUCUCGAGAUGACUUCACUUCGAUUACUGAUCAGCCUGUCCCUCCUUCUGGGUUUUUUCUUUCCUCCUUUUGGACAGCAGGGGAAAGGACAAGGUGAAGUGCUAGUAACCUCUCCCAUGUCCACUGACAGAGCUAACCUGCAUUCAACAUUUGCUAAAGAAACCAAAGCACUACAGGGUGACGUGUUAGUAACCUCUCCCCUGUAUAAUGCAAACCCACGACUGUUCCAAGA